rfam:Tropilaelaps mercedesae isolate Wuxi-XJTLT scaffold0000001075, whole genome shotgun sequence.
GCCAGCUUAGCUCAGGGGUUAGAGCACUGGUCUUGUAAACCAGGGGUCGGGAGUUCAAUUCUCCCAGUUGGCU